GAUGACUUGUGGCUGGGGGUGAAAGGCCAAUCAAACCGGGAGAUAGCUGGUUCUCCCCGAAAGCUAUUUAGGUAGCGCCUCGUGAAUUCAUCUUCGGGGGUAGAGCACUGUUUCGGCUAGGGGUCAUCCCGACUUACCAACCCGAUGCAAACUACGAAUACCGAAGAAUGUUAUCACGGGAGACACACGGCGGGUGCUAACGUCCGUCGUGAAGAGGGAAACAACCCAGACCGCCAGCUA
rnacentral:rRNA from 1 species